UAAAAAUUGUAAUUAUUUUUAUGGUGAUUUGAUUGAUGAGAGCAUUAAUAAGUAAAAGAGGCAGUCAUCACAAAAAGUAAUGAUCUAACGCAUGGUGGGACUCAUAGUUCCAGCUGCAUAUGUAGCAGAGGAUGGCCUAGUCGCUCAUCAGUGGGAGGACAGGCCCUUGGUCCUCUGAAGGUUCUAAGCCCCAGUGUAGGGGAAUGCCAGGGCCAGGAAGCAGGAGUGGGUAGGUUAGUGAGCAGGGGAAGAGUGGAAGGGAGCCAGGAAAGGAGGAUAACAUUUGAAAUGUAAAUAAAGAAAAUAUCUAAUUAAAAAAAAAGAUGUAGGGGGGCUGGAGAGAUGGCUUAGUGGUUAAGAGAAUCGACUGCUCUUCUGGAGGGCUGAGGUUCAAUUUCCAGCACCUACAUGGCAGCUCAUAACUGUCUGGGAUCUGACAACUUCAGACAGUCAAAAACACCAAUGGACAUAAAAUUAAAUAAUUUUUUUAAAAAAAGAUGUAAUGGUCUAAGUUAAAAUAUUAAUUUUGUUUGAAUCCAAAUAAAGAUUAAGACGGUCUUUAUUAUAUAAUAACUUUUCUGAUGGUUUGUUCUUAAUUUGUGAAAAAUAUAACAAUUUAAGAAUAGAAAGGAGUUCAUAAAUGUAAAGGAACAGCCAUGAGGUUGUAGACAGCUGAUGAUGUAGCACACAGUGUAACAGCUGCUGAGCACGGGCACGUGUGAGGCCCUGUUCCCCACAUGACAGACAUGCUGCCUUUAUUAUUACAGAUAUCAGUGAUGUAGAAGCCAAGCUUGAAAACUUUUCCUUAGAAUUCGAGGUAAAAAAUUAUAUUGAAAUUUUAGAAGGAAAAAUGUAAAAGAUCAAGGUAGAAUCAGGACAUUAAUUCUUUUUGUAGGCGUUAUACAUAUAGCAACAGUUGAUCAAAGAAACAAACUUUAUAUGGGCUUCCUGGAGGAAGGCUUCAGGAGGUUGAGAGUUUGAUCUAGACCAAGUCAUGUGCUUGACUUCAAGUGUGUGCAUAUUACUAUAAAGAAAAUUGUUUUUUUUUAUUAGAUAUUUUUUUUGUUUACAUUUCAAAUGUUAUCCCCUUUCCUGGUUUCCCCUCCAAAAAUCCCCUACCACAUCCUGCCACCUCUGCUCCCCAACCCACCCACUCCCACUUCCUGGCCCUGGCCUUCCCCUAUCCUGGGGCCUCGAGCCUUCAGAGGACCAAGGGCCUCUCCUCCCACUGAUGACCGACUAGGCCAUCCUCUGAUACUUAUGCAGCUAGAGCCAGGAGUCCCACCAUGUGUUUUCUUUGGUUGGUGGUUUAGUCACAGGGAGCUCUGGGGGUACUGGUUAGUUCACAUUGUUGUUCCUCCUAUGGGGUUGCAAACCUCUUCAACUCCUUGGCUCCUUUCUCUAGCUCCUUCAUUGGGGGAUCCUGUGCUCAGUUCAAUGGUUGGCUGCGAGCAUCUACCUCUGUAUUUGUCAGGCACUGACAGAGCCUCUCAGGGGACAGCUAUGUCCGGCUCCUGUCAGCGAACUCUUGUUGGCAUCCACAAUAGUGUCUGGGUUUGAUGGUUGUAUAUGGGUCGUCUAUGCCCAGUUGGGGCAGUUUCUGGAUGGUCAUUCUUUCAGUCUCUGCUCCAAACAUUGUCUCUGUAACUUCUUCCAUGGGUAUUUUGUUCUCCCUUCUAAGAAGGACCGAACUAUCCACACUUUGGUCUUCCUUCUUCUUGAGUUCCAUGUGUUUUCAGAAUUGUACCUUGGGUAUUCUGAGCUUCUGGGCUAAUAUCCACUCAUCAGCGAGUGUAUCUCAUGUGCACUCUUCUGUGAUUGGGUUACCUUACUCAGGAUGAUAUCCUCAAGAUUCACCCAGAAAGUGGGGAAGAGCCUUGAGCACAUGGGCAUAGGGGAAAAUUUCCUGAACAGAAUACUAAUGGCUUGUGCUGUAAGAUCAAGAAUUGACAAAUGGGCUGGGCGUGGUGGUGCAAGCCUUUAAUCUCAGCAUUCAGGAGGUAGAGGCAGGCAGAUUUCUGAAUUUGAAGCCAGCCUGGUCUACAAAGUGUGUUUCAGGCCAGCCAGGACUAUACAGAGAAACCCUGUCUCAAAAAAACAAAACAAAAC
rnacentral:lncRNA from 1 species